rnacentral:lncRNA from 1 species
UGAAGCUUACAUGGGAAAGGUUUUGGAAACCUACCACGAGCCCCUCAACGGACUGUGGUCCCCUUCACGGCCCGUUUAGGGCUACGUGGAAGGUUCUAUGGUCUACUUUUUGGGCUUGUGAGUUUCCGACUUGACCCAUUUCUAGCCUUUCCCGAAUUCGAGGUGUUACAGUAUCCAAAUAUUCAUUAUAUUGUAUAAAAAAAUAAUCGGAAAAAGUAGGGCUAGGAAUUCGGUAAUUCUAUUUGAUUUCAACUUUUUGGUUAUUGAGUUUGUUGUACCGAACACAAACUGAAUUAAUUCGUUUCGAAUUUAUUUUUUGUAAUUCGGUUCGAUUUAUUAAAUUCGAUUUUUUUGUUAUGAAACUAGAAGUUGAAACCGCAGUAGUACUUGAGAGUAGAGUUUGGACAUUGUUCACUAGACAUCAUUAGCUAGACGCCAUACGCUUGCCAGAGGAAGCUACAAGUUGCUGCUUAGUGGAGCCUGGAAGUAGAAUUCGGAAGAGAAGGUGCGGCGGAAGAUUAAAAAGUCAAAGACGAUUAAAAUUCAGAAAUUCAAAAAGACAAAAAAUGAAAACCUAAUGCCUAAGGGAAAAAAAGGAAAUAAAAGGCUUAGUACUAAAAAUAUGUAAUUUUUCAGGCUAUUAUAUAGUGGGAGAUUUAUCUAGUGCACACAAAGUGCUCACCCGAAGGGCAGCAGUAGUAGCGAC